GGCCUGUAGCUCAAUUGGUUAGAGCCGGCGGCUCAUAACCGCUUGGUUGGGGGUUCGAGUCCCUCCGGGCCCACCA
rnacentral:tRNA from 1 species